UCCAAGUUUAUAUGUACUAAAUGUGUAUGAAUAAAAUGGAUAAAAUGAGUACAAUAACUAGAAGGAUUGAUUCAUAGAUCCUAGGUUAUCAAGGUUAGAACCAUAUGAUCCAUUAAAUUUUAAAGGAUUGAUUCAUAGAUCCUAGGUUAUCAAGGUUAGAACCAUAUGAUCCAUUAAAUUUUAAAGGAUUGAUUCAUAGAUCCUAGGUUAUCAAGGUUAGAACCAUAUGAUCCAUUAAAUUUUAGGGGCACCAUUUCAAAUCCAUUGGAG
rnacentral:lncRNA from 1 species